rnacentral:rRNA from 1 species
CCCUUAGAUGUUCUGGGCCGCACGCGCGCUACACUGUUCGACGCAGCGAGUCUUAACCUUGACCGAAAGGUUUGGGUAAUCUUCAGCAAAGUCGAACGUGAUGGGGAUCGAUCAUUGCAAUUAUUGAUCGUGAACGAGGAAUUCCUAGUAAGUGCAAGUCAUCAGCUUGCGCUGAUUACGUCCCUGCCCUUUGUACACACCGCCCGUCGCUACUACCGAUUGAAUGGUUUAGUGAGAUCUCUGGAUUGACGCUGGCUAGGGGGCGACCCUAGGCCAGACUGUUGAGAAACUGCUCAAACUUGAUCAUUUAGAGGAAGUAAAAGUCGUAACA